rnacentral:tRNA from 1 species
GGUGCCAUAGCUCAGCUGGAUAGAGCACGAACCUUCUAAGUUCGGGGUCCCAGGUUCAAAUCCUGGUGGCAUCACCA